GGCACCGCCUCCAGACGUCGUCCUGGUUACGCCGGUCGUGACUCGCACUCUGAUCGCUUUUUUUUUUUUUUUUUUUUUUUGUUUUAGAACCUGAGGAUACAAGAUUGUUCAGUCGAGAUCCCAAGGGAGAAUCAGUCUUGAAAGACAUGCCAGCGGCUCCACCCACCGAGAACGACUACUUCUCCCAACAGCGGAGAACCUCAGCGAGCUUACUCGCCCGCCCCCUCCUCCUGCCAUGUUUCUGUUGAACGCUCCUGGACGCCGGCGGACGCGACUGCGCAUGCGCCACAGUUGCUUUUCUCUGCCCAGCGGGUGCCUACGGCGAACUGUGCCCGCGCGUGCGCGGACCCUCCCUUCCUCCCCCCCCUCCACAACUGGUUGCCUAGUUACAGUUUGCCUCCGCCGCAGGCUUUGCCCUGCGAAGGUGGGGUUUGCCAGAUGUGCAGCCUGCUAGCUGCUCGCUAGCCUGGGAAAGUGGCUGCGGGGUCGGUGCCUGGUCCUGCCUUCCCUGAUCCUCAGUGGCUCGCUCACUCUCUAUCUUACCAUCGCAAGAGUCCUACCGGUGGGUCGCUGCUCAGACCUCGGGCGGAGCGCUGGGCCCGGCCGCCUCGGAGGUCCGCAAGCUGGCCGUCCGCGGUUCCUCCUGCGGGGUGCUGAGCUCGGUGAUCAUCUCCGGAGAAAGCUCUGUGUCUGAUGCUGCAUUGCAUAUCUGAUAUGAGUUGUCUGUCCUCUGGAGACUUGGUCACUCUGGCACUGAAAAGCAGCCCACAAUGUUGUGUGACUGUUCUUCGUGCAUGACAGCCACUACCAUCUUCAACAGAACAGCUGUGACUACCCAUAAGAGACCCUCCACACUGGACCUGUUCACAUUCCUUAUAGAAGAAAGGGCUUGGGAAGGUCACUGGACCCUCACCUGAGAUUCAGCGGCUCCCUUCUGUGCCUCCCUGCCAGCUGUAUGUAAUUCUAUCCCAACAGCGCAUGGUCUUGGGGGUGCUAGAGGAUACAGUGUGUGUGCGUGGGGGGGGGGUUAAUCCAUGGGAGGACUCCACGUACGCAGCUAUGGGAAAGUCGUCCAUGCUGGGGUGAGGUGUUUUUUCAGUGAUGUGGCUACUUUGGAGUCAUCUACACUCCUGAAAUGUCCACUCACCCGUCCCCCUGCCUCCAUCUCCCACACUCCUGAAAGUGUCCACUCCCCCGUUCUCCUCCCUUCUUCUCACAAGAGCCGUGAUCCCAGGGUGUGCCACCAUGCUCAGCUCCAUGCCUUAAUUCUCUGUGCUGCUGGCAGAGAUGCCUGGAGGUCACCUUGAUUUUCUUUUGGAUUCUAAAUCUUGUGCUGUCUGGGAUAGUAGCCAUAUGCACCUGCAGUGUGGCUGGUCCAACUUGAGGUGUGAAACAGAGUUUCAGACACUACCAAAAACAAAAAGAAUGUGACUUCCAAUGAUGAUGACAUUGACUAAUAGUUAAAUGACUAGCUGUGGAUUAAUGGAAUGAGCUGAGAUGUCAUUAAAAUAUAUAAACACCUGUU